GUAGGGAAUCUUCGGCAAUGGACGAAAGUCUGACCGAGCAACGCCGCGUGAGUGAAGAAGGUUUUCGGAUCGUAAAACUCUGUUGUUAGAGAAGAACGUUGUGUAGAGUGGAAAAUUACACAAGUGACGGUAUCUAACCAGAAAGGGACGGCUAACUACGUGCCAGCAGCCGCGGUAAUACGUAGGUCCCGAGCGUUGUCCGGAUUUAUUGGGCGUAAAGCGAGCGCAGGUGGUUUAAUAAGUCUGAUGUAAAAGGCAGUGGCUCAACCAUUGUGUGCAUUGGAAACUGUUAGACUUGAGUGCAGUAGAGGAGAGUGGAAUUCCAUGUGUAGCGGUGAAAUGCGUAGAUAUAUGGAGGAACACCGGUGGCGAAAGCGGCUCUCUGGACUGUAACUGACACUGAGGCUCGAAAGCGUGGGUAGCAAACAGGAUUAGAAACCCGUGUAGUCC
rnacentral:rRNA from 1 species